rnacentral:tRNA from 1 species
GAGGGUAUAGCUCAAGUGGUAGAGCGCAUGCUUAGCAUGCACGAGGUCCUGGGUUCAAUCCCCAGUACCUCUA